UAGGGAAUAUUGGACAAUGGGGGCAACCCUGAUCCAGCCAUGCCGCGUGAGUGAAGAAGGCCCUCGGGUUGUAAAGCUCUUUUGUCCGGAAAGAAAAGCUUCGGGUUAAUACCCCGGGGUUCUGACGGUACCGGAAGAAUAAGCACCGGCUAACUUCGUGCCAGCGGCCGCGGUAAUACGAAGGGUGCAAGCGUUACUCGGAAUUACUGGGCGUAAAGCGUGCGUAGGUGGUUGUUUAAGUCUGAUGUGAAAGCCCUGGGCUCAACCUGGGAAUGGCAUUGGAAACUGGGCAGCUAGAGUGCGGUAGAGGGUAGUGGAAUUCCCGGUGUAGCAGUGAAAUGCGUAGAGAUCGGGAGGAACAUCUGUGGCGAAGGCGACUGCCUGGACCAGCACUGACACUGAGGCACGAAAGCGUGGGGAGCAAACA
rnacentral:rRNA from 1 species